UAGAGUUAACUGGCUUCCUCACUUAAAACGCCAGCUGCUAAAAACUACUCUCUACCUUAUUUUUUAUUUCAUUUUAUUGUUUUUAUUAUUCAAAGUUAAAAGUAGUUCUCAGACUUCAAACCCUCCUUCGUUUUCUCCGCCUCCCUCUAUGGAUAUGAAGCUAUUUCUCUCUCCUCAUCAAACCCUCAUUAAUCAAGCUUUCCUCAAAACGUCACCCUUUCUCCUCAAUUCUUCAUCAAAGUAGUAUUCACUUUCUCUCCAUUGAUUUGGCUACUUAGGGUUUCAGCGAGGGAGAAGGCGGAGUAAACGAGGUGGUUGCUGCUCAAAAAUGACAAUGCCCCUUUACAAUCCUUUGUUGCUUCAAAGAAUCAUCUUUCUCAUACCUCGAAAUAGAAGCUCUUACAAUGGAAACUAUGGAGUUCUUAAUUAUUUACCUGGAGUUUGAUAUAAGAAGUUUUAUCGUAUACGAUGAGGUGUUGCUCCUCCCUAAGGGCUCUUGGCUACUAGUGAUAAAAACGACACAGGGUUAUAUGCCGAUCUAGAUAUCACACCGGGAAAAUAUUUCAUUUUUUUGAUGGGGUAGGUGCUAUUUGUGUGAUGGUUUAAUUCUAAUUUCACUAGAAUUCUCAAUGAGGUGCUAGCCUGCAAGGUGGUGGACGGUUGUUUAGUUAAUGAGAAUCUUAAUGCCACUAUGGAUAUCACACCGAGAAGAGGAAUAUUUAAUGUAUUUAGAACAUUAUACUAUGUAGUGCCGCAUCCUCCAUAAUUGGUUUUGACAGUAGCUUUCAGAAAGAAGCUAAUAUGAAUAUAUAAGCUAUUCAUCUUUCGGCUGAUAAGGACCCAUUAAUCAUGUUUGACCUUUAAACUAACAUAGGUGGUAAUAGUGACCAUGGUCAAAAGCAGUCAACAAGGAGAUAUCUUGGGGGAACUUUAAGGAGGAGUACAACUAUCGGGCGAGAGGGGGGUGGGGGAAGAAGGAUUAACGAGCAACCAGCUAAUUUCAGGAUCUUUGGUUGAAGAUAAACCACAAUCUGCCAAUUCAGCAAAGGGAGAAAGAACCUCUAGCACGAAUAAAAACAAUAUUGAUCCAAUACUGUCAUUCCCAGAAGUAGUUAUGUGUUUUUGUAGCAUAGACUGCUAGAGUGCUAGCCUUGUAAUUUUUUUAAAAAGUUUGUAAUUAAUGUAUAAUGCAAAAAUUAACAAAAAAUUUGUUACAGUAGUACCUUCUAUGAUCUAUUUCAUCCGUCAAUUUGG